AGAUGGGAAGAUCUUUUUGUUCUUUCAGCAUAGUAGUAUCGAUCGACGAAAAAGAGGGGGACGAGCGUAAGUUAGCAAAAAGACUUGCGAAGUAGGGGAUCAUUGAGCUAUUUUAUGGGGUCCGAACAGAAAGAUGGGAAGUUUCCGACAACACGACGGACCUCGAAAGAAAUGAGCCGAGGGCUUCCUGAUAGAGAGAAAGAGGGUUUUAGAUCUUUCUCUUUCUUUCUUUCAUUAUCACUUUCCAUCUGAAAAAAUCACAGCAAAAGAAUCGAAUAAAACGUAGCGUUGAAGAGUCAAAAGCUGUUCGUUUUUUUUAUUUUUUUAAAAAAUUAUUUUCUCGAAGACGGAUUCUUGCUCUUCUUUUUGGCCGGAAUUCGAAUUCUCAAUCUUUCCAUUUUUUAUCGUCAAAACAAAAAGAUUUGGAGCGUUGAUUGAUGUGAUCACAGAGAGAGAGAGAGAGAUGGGAUUGUCGGACAAUUCGAAGGGAGUGAUAUUAGCAGUGGCGUCAAGCGCGUUUAUCGGGUCAAGUUUUAUUCUGAAGAAGAAAGGACUCAAGCGUGCUGGUGCUGCGGGUACUCGCGCAGGAGUUGGAGGUUAUACCUACUUAUUAGAGCCACUUUGGUGGGCGGGCAUGAUAACAAUGAUUAUUGGAGAGGUUGCAAAUUUUGUGGCUUAUGUAUAUGCUCCUGCUGUUCUAGUUACCCCACUUGGUGCACUAAGUAUAAUUGUGAGUGCUUUUCUGGCACAUUUUAUGUUGAAGGAACGAGUUCAGAAAAUGGGGAUUGUAGGAUGUGUCUCCUGCAUUGUAGGUUCAGUGGUGAUUGUAAUCCAUGCACCACAAGAGCAUACUCCAAGUUCUGUGCAAGAAAUUUGGACUCUAGCAACACAACCAGCUUUUCUUAUUUAUGUAGCGGCUACACUUUCAACAGUUUUAGCUUUGGUUUUGCACUUUGAACCUCGUUAUGGGCAGACAAAUUUACUUGUGUAUUUGGGAAUAUGUUCCUUAAUGGGUUCUCUUACGGUUGUAAGCAUCAAAGCUAUCGGGAUUGCUAUAAAGCUUACAUUGGAUGGGAUAAGUCAAUUAGCUUAUCCUCAAACUUGGUUUUUUAUUACAGUUGCUGCAAUUUGUGUCAUUACACAAUUAAAUUACCUCAAUAAGGCCUUGGAUACAUUCAAUGCUGCAAUUGUUUCUCCUGUAUAUUAUGUGAUGUUUACAACUUUGACCAUUAUUGCUAGUGUAAUAAUGUUUAAGGACUGGUCAGGCCAAAACGUGAGCAGUAUUGCUUCUGAGAUAUGUGGAUUCAUCACUGUGCUUUCUGGAACAAUCAUACUUCAUGCUACAAGAGAACAGGAACCACGUCCUCCAGUAGGAACUGUAACAUGGUAUGUUAGUGGCGAUUCCGUAAAGAGUCCUGAGGAUGAACAUCUAAUCACUCUGCGAAGUUUGGAGUAUUAUGAGCCAUGAUUUUCUCCAUCAAAGAUGAGUGUCUUGAUCUCCCUCCAUUGAACCGGGUAGAAUACGUGAAAUGCAAGAGAGUCAGUCCCUCUGUUCUCCAGAUGAAAUUUGCAGGUGUCAACAAUAGCCAGAAAGGUAGUUUUAGCGAUACCUUUCCUUGACAACCAGCAAACAGGACCCCAAUUGAAAUCAGUUAAUGCGCCCUGGAUUCUUGCAUCAUUGUCAACUUGGAAUGAGGAGUUGAGUGCGGUAUCUAUCCCCCCUUUUGACAGUGGUGAUCUCAUUCCCAUCUGAGUUGUACAUAACAAAGCUAUGUUCUUCUUCAGUUGUUUCCUUGUGUAGGGGCUGAGAUGAUUUCUUUUUCAUUAUUUCUGUCAAGAAUCAGUCAGCUUUAGAAGUAAGCAGCUGCAGCUCCUUUUAAAAAGAGAGGCUGAGGAGGAGAUGUGUGUCGUUCUACGAACACAACAAAGGUAAAUGUCUCAUUCCAGCCCAUUUGCCCAUUGGGGAUCGUUGACUGCGUAAUCCAAUAGGCUACCAUUAGGAAUCAAAUUCUGUUUUUAAUUUAAUGAGUUUUAACGUGUAA